ACAAGAGGCUGGCAAGCGAUAAAUGCCUUCGUAUCAUCGUGUGAGGAGAGACUGCGGGAGCUGGGCCUGACGAGAUCUCAUGUAAACCAGGCAGGUGAGAUGUUACCGAAAUGGAAUCAUUUCCCACCAGAAAUCAUAUAAAUCUGUGCUCUGCCAUGUCUUCAAAUCCAUGGAAUUUGGAUCUAUGAAUUGCUGUAGUUUGUACUGUUGGGUGGAUGAAUGUGCAAAUCACCAGAAUUAAGUGGAUUUACCUGAUAUGUUUAACUGUUUCUAUACACUGCAAAAAUAUUGUUUAUAACUAAAAAUUUAGCUAAAAUACCUGUGAAUACUUGAAGAUCUGGUAUAGAUAAUUAAUAAAAGAAAUUUUAACGGUU